AAAUAUCUGUAACACGCCUUGUUGCUCCCCACCCGCACCCGCUCUGUGCUUAUAACAAAUAAAUCAUUCUGCUGGUUUCUGCUGAGCCCAGUUGAACUCUUCUCAUGUUCCUCCAGCAGCCACAACUAAAGUACUGUAUCAGGACUGCCUUGGAACAUGAAACCAACUUACCGCUGUACUUUCCAUCUUGGAUGCUGAAGUUCUAGGGUAGGGUUGUCAGUAAAAUGCAGGACACCCAGUUAAAUUUAAAUUUCAAAUAAAUAAGAAAUAAUUUUUAGCCAUUAUUAUGGAGUUGUAGACCUGGUGUGGGGAGUAUGGGGAUCAACCUCAGAAGCCUCCAGAGAGAGAUUGGUGGACUCUAGGAGUGUCGAUCUCAGACUGACCAUCGCUGGGGCCACAUCCAAGCAGCAGCCCUUUGUCCAGAGCCAUUUCCUCCACUGGCCUCAGUUUCUGUAGGGCCCAGAUGGUGCUGAAGUCAGAUGCCAAGGGGAAAGUGACUUUACCCACGAGAGAGAUUUUUAAAUAUUCCCCCAACUGCUCCGAUGGGACCGUCUAGUUACAGGAAAACAAGCUCAAGGCUCCCACUGAUUCUACAUUACGUGGUCAUGACUUUUGGCAAGAAAGUUGGAGAUGUGACCAGCUGCACAUGACUUUACCUAAAAGCUUGCUAUGUAAAGGACACUUUCUGGAGAGUGGGUGUAGGAAUUCACUGUCUCACUGCUGCCCAAGACAGCACUACUGUUUGUAAGCCCCUAUUAAAUAUUUCUUUCUGAGAAAGUGGAUUUGUCAGCCUCUGUUUUUGGCCUUCAGCUCCCUUGGCCUUUGUGGGUAGGUUUGUAUAUACCUGCUCACUGCAGAAAAAUAUUCUACUCCAGUUUGUGAUAUAUUUGGGUUUACAGAUAGUCUGGUUACUGGAGUUUGAACCCAGUUCUGACUCCAAUGCUCAUGAUCUUUCACUCUACCACAUAGUCUUCCAGAAACAAAUCAUAUGUGGUCUCUGCCCUUGAUAGAUUCUCCAUCUAGCAUGAGAGAUGGGUAUAUAAACAAAUGAUUGCUGCAGAAAAUUUAAUAGAAAACUAAGGAAGGUGAUGCUAACUCUACCUGGGCAUGUCAGGGAAAGUAUCACAUAGGAGGGAGUAUUCGUAGUGAGUGUUUCCACCAGGAAAGACAAGCAGAGGGACUUUCCUAUGUACAGUAACAUGCUUCACUCAUAGUUUUAAAAAUUAACGUUCUCACCCUUUUUUCCCAGCCAUCGUUGGUGUCACCAAUCUCCCAUGCUCUCCUAAAAAAUUUUCCUUUUCCCGUUUUUGCACUUCUCCUAUAUAAUUAAUUUACAUGUCUUCUGUUUUCUCUAUACUUACAGCUCCUUGACCAAAAGACCAUGAUUUAUUUAUCUUUGUGCACCUAGCACAGUGCCUUACAAAGACUAGGCAUUAAUAAACACUCAUUGGGCACCUGAAGAUAGGUACAGAUUUCUAGGUAAAGAAACUAGGAUGUGCACAGGCCUUGUGGGCGAUGGAGCAUAGCAUGUUCAAAGGCCUGAAAGACAAGAUCAGAAUGACUAGCUAUUAGGCAGUAGUGGUGGUGGUGGUAAUAGAGGCAGAGUGUUCAGGAAGGUGAUGUUGUAGGGUAGAGUAAUCUGAGAUAAAACUGGGACUGGUUGGAGUUAGACCAUUAGGAUCUUAGAGAACAUGUUAAAGAUUUUGGUCUUCAUCCUAAGAGCAGUAGGAGGCCACGGAACAAAGGGUCAAUGGGUAACACACUGAAAAGUUCACCUGAGCUCCAUUGAGGGGUAAGGGCUGGGGACAAAUACAACAAGGGAAAAUAUAGAAGGCUACUACAGUCAUCCAAAUAUUGGAUGUGGCUUUUAGUGAAGUUUGGAAGAAGUGCCCCUUUUUUAGGAAUACCAUACAGAAAAGUCACAUAUUUGAACAUAACUACUUGCCUAAUCCUUUUAGGAUUUUCUUUUC
rnacentral:lncRNA from 10 species